UUAAAUUGAAGAGUUUGAUCAUGGCUCAGAUUGAACGCUGGCGGCAGGCCUAACACAUGCAAGUCGAACGGUAACAGGAAGCAGCUUGCUGCUUUGCUGACGAGUGGCGGACGGGUGAGUAAUGUCUGGGAAACUGCCUGAUGGAGGGGGAUAACUACUGGAAACGGUGGCUAAUACCGCAUAACGUCGCAAGACCAAAGAGGGGGACCUUCGGGCCUCUUGCCAUCAGAUGUGCCCAGAUGGGAUUAGCUUGUUGGUGAGGUAACGGCUCACCAAGGCGACGAUCCCUAGCUGGUCUGAGAGGAUGACCAGCCACACUGGAACUGAGACACGGUCCAGACUCCUACGGGAGGCAGCAGUGGGGAAUAUUGCACAAUGGGCGCAAGCCUGAUGCAGCCAUGCCGCGUGUAUGAAGAAGGCCUUCGGGUUGUAAAGUACUUUCAGCGGGGAGGAAGGUGUUGUGGUUAAUAACCGCAGCAAUUGACGUUACCCGCAGAAGAAGCACCGGCUAACUCCGUGCCAGCAGCCGCGGUAAUACGGAGGGUGCAAGCGUUAAUCGGAAUUACUGGGCGUAAAGCGCACGCAGGCGGUCUGUCAAGUCGGAUGUGAAAUCCCCGGGCUCAACCUGGGAACUGCAUUCGAAACUGGCAGGCUUGAGUCUUGUAGAGGGGGGUAGAAUUCCAGGUGUAGCGGUGAAAUGCGUAGAGAUCUGGAGGAAUACCGGUGGCGAAGGCGGCCCCCUGGACAAAGACUGACGCUCAGGUGCGAAAGCGUGGGGAGCAAACAGGAUUAGAUACCCUGGUAGUCCACGCCGUAAACGAUGUCUACUUGGAGGUUGUGCCCUUGAGGCGUGGCUUCCGGAGCUAACGCGUUAAGUAGACCGCCUGGGGAGUACGGCCGCAAGGUUAAAACUCAAAUGAAUUGACGGGGGCCCGCACAAGCGGUGGAGCAUGUGGUUUAAUUCGAUGCAACGCGAAGAACCUUACCUGGUCUUGACAUCCACAGAACUUUCCAGAGAUGGACUGGUGCCUUCGGGAACUGUGAGACAGGUGCUGCAUGGCUGUCGUCAGCUCGUGUUGUGAAAUGUUGGGUUAAGUCCCGCAACGAGCGCAACCCUUAUCCUUUGUUGCCAGCGGUUAGGCCGGGAACUCAAAGGAGACUGCCAGUGAUAAACUGGAGGAAGGUGGGGAUGACGUCAAGUCAUCAUGGCCCUUACGACCAGGGCUACACACGUGCUACAAUGGCGCAUACAAAGAGAAGCGACCUCGCGAGAGCAAGCGGACCUCAUAAAGUGCGUCGUAGUCCGGAUUGGAGUCUGCAACUCGACUCCAUGAAGUCGGAAUCGCUAGUAAUCGUGGAUCAGAAUGCCACGGUGAAUACGUUCCCGGGCCUUGUACACACCGCCCGUCACACCAUGGGAGUGGGUUGCAAAAGAAGUAGGUAGCUUAACCUUCGGGAGGGCGCUUACCACUUUGUGAUUCAUGACUGGGGUGAAGUCGUAACAAGGUAACCGUAGGGGAACCUGCGGUUGGAUCACCUCCUUACCUUAAAGAAGC
rnacentral:rRNA from 3 species